AUGGGGCUACAGUGGAAUAUCUCAUAGAAAGGUUUCCAGUUCAUAAAACACUUUCAAAACAUGCUCGGCCCUUUUAAGUUGAAGGGACAUUAUCAUUUCUAUCUAUGGCAUUUCUCUGCAAAUUGAACUCAAAUAUCCUUUGGGCUGACUACACAGAGAACAGAAGAAAGAAGUGGAAGAAACUUGGACUGAAGAUUGCCUCCCUGAAAAGGUUUUCUUCAGGCAGAAUUAUAGCAACACAAUGACUGUCAAAGAGCUCAUAAGAGAUUGGAACUGCUUUUGCAAUAAGUAAAGUCAAUGAAGAAAGUAAGAGGAUUGCAAAGGUUUCCCCCGCUGAUUCUGCCAACAGAAAUGUUUUUAUUGUGCUGCUUUGGACUGUCAUUCAUCAAGCAACCAGAGAGAAAAGAAGGCUCUUUACUGUCAGCUAAGCCUGAAAAAUACUUGGAAAGUACUUUGCUUCCCUGGGCUUGGGUCAUGGACAACCUUCAAGGCACUUUCAAUCAGAUUGUAUCCUGAAGGCGUGGAAAAAAAACAGUGAAACAUUUCCAACUACAAUUUAAAGGAAUGCAUGUCAUUUAUUUAAAACAUAAAUCAGCAAACAGAGAGACAUAAAAUUACUAGUGGACUGCUUCAAGUUCAGAAGCCACUGCCCUGGUAGAGGAGUUACCAACGAUCACACAUCCUAUAGGAAUCCAACUACAGUGGCCCUGAGCUGAAACAGCAUGCGUUCCAUGCUCCUUUGCAUAAUUUGCCUACUUCUUCUCAUAUUUUGUAAAUAUAAAAUCUACUUCUGG
rnacentral:lncRNA from 1 species